rnacentral:rRNA from 1 species
AGCAGCCGCGGUAAUUCCAGCUCCAAUAGCGUAUAUUAAAGUUGUUGCAGUUAAAAAGCUCGUAGUUGAAUUUCGAGACCAAAUUGUCGGUCGUGCCUCGGUACGUACUGGAAUUAUUGAUUUCUCCUUUCUGAAGAACCAUGAUGUCAUUAAUUUGGUGUCUUGGGAAAUCAGGACUGUUACUUUGAAAAAAUUAGAGUGUUUAAAGCAGGCUCACGCUUGAAUACAUUAGCAUGGAAUAAUGAAAUAGGACGUUUGAUUCUAUUUUGUUGGUUUCUAGGAUCGACGUAAUGAUUAAUAGGGAUAGUUGAGGGCAUUAGUAUUCAAUUGUCAGAGGUGAAAUUCUUGGAUUUAUUGAAGACUAACUACUGCGAAAGCAUUUGCCAAGGAUGUUUUC